AAACAUGUCUAUUUGAAGAUAUAAAUAGUCUGGCCUGCUCACUGAUAUAAAUUAUAUUAAAGAGCCGCGGUAUUUUGACUGUGCAAAGGUAGCAUAAUAAUUAGUUUUUUAAUUGAAAGCUUGUAUGAAUGGUCGGACAAAAAGAAUGCUGUCUACUAUUGUAAAAGUAAAAGUUGACUUUUAAGUGAAAAGGCUUAAAUUAUUCAGAGGGACGAUAAGACCCUAUAAAGCUUUAUAUGUUAUUUAAAUUUGAUUGAAUUAUAAUGUAUAAGAUUUUAAUUUAGAUAAAGUAUUUUGCUGGGGCGGCAUAGGUAUAAUUUAAAUUAACUGCUUAAUAAUAAUACAAUAAUAAUUGGUUUAAUAUUAAUGGAUCCUUUUUAAAGAUUUAAGAACAAGUUACUUUAGGGAUAACAGCGUUAUUUUUUUUGAGAGUUCUUAUCGAAAAAAAAGUUUGCGACCUCGAUGUUGAAUUAAAUUGUCUAUAUAGUGCAGUAGCUAUAUAAGAAGGUCUGUUCGACCUUUAAAUGUUUACGUGA
rnacentral:rRNA from 1 species